CGUUACGCGGCGGAGAUUCGAGAUCCCGGGAAGAAGAGCCGUGUAUGGUUGGGAACGUUCGACACGGCGGAGGAGGCGGCUCGUGCAUACGACGCCGCCGCUCGUGAGUUCCGUGGGUCUAAAGCUAAAACUAACUUCCCUUUACCUUCGGAUGUCCACAGCCCUAGCCAGAGCAGCACCGUGGAGUCAUCAAGCGUCAUAGCAAUCAAUACUCAACCGCCGGUUGAGCUUGACCUCACGCGCCUCCUUGGAGUAAAUUCCACCGCUACUGCUGUGAAUGGGUAUCAGUUUUUUCAUUACCAGCCAGCCAUGGCGGUUUCGCCCACUGGACGUCCGGUUCUGUACUUCGAUCCUCCGCCAGAAUACCGGCUGAAUACGGCGGCGGUUCACUUUCCCAAGAGCGGCGAC
rnacentral:lncRNA from 1 species